rnacentral:rRNA from 1 species
UACAGAGGGUGCGAGCGUUAAUCGGAAUUACUGGGCGUAAAGCGUGCGUAGACGGUUAUUUAAGUCGGGUGUGAAAGCCCCGGGCUCAACCUGGGAAUUGCAUUCGAGACUGAAUAGCUAGGGUACGGUAGAGGGAAGCGGAAUUUCCGGUGUAGCGGUGAAAUGCGUAGAUAUCGGAAGGAACAUCAGUGGCGAAGGCGGCAUCCUGGACCGGCAUUGACGCUGAGGCGCGAAAGCCAGGGGAGCAAACGGG